GUGCUUGCUUUGGCAGCACAUAUACUAAAAUUGGAAAGAUACAGAGAAGAUUAGCAUGGCCCCUGUGCAAGGAUGACACGCAAAUUCGUGAAGCAUUCCAUAUUUUU
rnacentral:snRNA from 1 species